GACGAACGCUGGCGGCGUGCCUAAUACAUGCAAGUCGAACGAGAGCGACCGGUGCUUGCACUGGUCAAUCUAGUGGCGAACGGGUGAGUAACACGUGGGUAACCUGCCCAUCAGAGGGGGAUAACAUUCGGAAACGGAUGCUAAAACCGCAUAGGUCUUCGAACCGCAUGGUUUGAAGAGGAAAAGAGGCGCAAGCUUCUGCUGAUGGAUGGACCCGCGGUGCAUUAGCUAGUUGGUGAGGUAACGGCUCACCAAGGCCGUGAUGCAUAGCCGACCUGAGAGAGUGAUCGGCCACAUUGGGACUGAGACACGGACCAAACUCCUACGGGAGGCAGCAGUAGGGAAUCUUCCGCAAUGGACGCAAGUCUGACGGAGCAACGCCGCGUGAGUGAAGAAGGUUUUCGGAUCGUAAAACUCUGUUGUUAGAGAAGAAUAAGUGCUAGAGUAACUGUUAGCGCCUUGACGGUAUCUAACCAGAAAGCCACGGCUAACUACGUG
rnacentral:rRNA from 1 species